GCCGUGUGUGGUGGUGCAUGCCUGUAAUCCCAGCUACUUGGGAGGCUGAGGCAGGAGAAUCGCCUGAACCCGGGAGGCUGAGGUUGCAGUGAGCCAAGAUUGUGCCACUGUACUCCAGCCUGGGUGACAGAGCGAGACUCUGUCUCAA
rnacentral:SRP_RNA from 1 species